AUUAAGCAUAUAGACUGCGGAACGUUAGACGGGUGUCUGAAGAUUCUGAGUGGGUUUUGGAUACCGUUUUUCUUUCUCGCUCGCGGAUUAAGAAGCAGAGAUGGGCUGGUUGUGAGCCUCGGGGAAAGUGAUUUGGACUUUAGCAAAAUGGGUUGGGACUUGGUAGCAAAACAGAACAAGGAAAGCACACAUACAUGUGCAGAGGAGACAGCAGGAUUAGGCAAAGAGACGUGGCAUGGGAGAAUUUGUUGGUGAGUACCAACGGGGGCCUACCCGCACAGGUAUUAAGACCAAAGGAACUGCAUCAGAAGUAAAACAAAACCAAAUGAAUUGAGCUGAAGAUCAUUCCUCAAAGUCAGUCUGUGACAUAAUGGAGAGACAUUAGACAGAACAAGCAGCCCCAUUUGCUGUCUCUGGAGUCUUCAAGAUGCACUUUUAUAAUUAACAGUGAAAUCCCAAUUAUUUUCAGUGGAAACAAAAGAAUGAAGAUAUCCUGAGCCUCCAAUAAAGUUAAUGCACCUAAAAAUAUAUUUUAAUCUCUAGAAGUAAGAAAUAUAUAUCUUAGAAGAUGUGGUGUUCCAUAGCUCUUCGCUCCCACAGGUUUUGGAAGGUGUGAUGUUGCUAUCAUUGGUGAUGGCUGUUGCUUAGCCCUCUUCUAUUCAUUCCCUCAUACCUUCCACAACUGUUUUGUACAAUCACACAUUUUAUUUAUUUUACACUGGGAUUCUUGCACUACUGAAACCUCCCUUUGAAACUUUGCUUAUUUUUCAGUGUUUGCUUUCACAGUGGAAGGAAGAAACAUUUUCCUAUAUAUGUAUGAAGGCAAAUUAACAUUCUUUAUAGAAAAAUAAUUGUAUACACAUUUAACAAAAUUGAACGUGAGGAAGAAAAACAGGUCUUGAAGCAAUCAUCAAUCUUCUAGAAAUCAUUGUUCCCUUCAGUCCCUUAAGAUGACCUCAUGUAUUAUUAAAGAUUUAAUUGUAAAUAGUAGUAUCUCACAUUGUUAGAAAACAUAGGAAUGCUGUUAAUAACUUUUCUUUCAUUUUAAAAAAGCAAAGGAACAUUUGUAGUAACAUAUGGUACAGGACAAGGAUUCUCAGCUUGUUUUGUCUAAGGCCACACUUUAUUUUUUAUUACUUUUUUAUUAUUACUUUUUAAUUAUUUUUUAUUUUAUUACCUCUAAGAGUCACAGAGGAUGUGAUGAUAACAUGGUGACAUCAUUGCAAGGGCCAAAUUUUUACAGAGUUUGGGGUUAAUGCAAAAUAGGCAUGUUAGACCUCUGGGAGACUUAACACAUGUAUUUUACUGGGGUUUUUUGAGAAAGGAAGCUAGGUUGCUAAGAAUUGCCAUUUUACCACCAACUGUUACCAUAAGACAGGGCUCUGAGGACUUCUGAAAUGGGUCUGGGGAUCUUCAUGUAUCUUGCAGGCUGUGGGUUACGCCCAUUCUACAACAGCUUAGUAAGCAAUGGAUCCAGCAGUAUUUUUUUCACCAAGUAUUUUUAGUGAUUAAAAUAAGCUAUUGUACCUGAUUAUUAUAUUCUUAGCUUUGUUGAACACUGUGCCCACACAGCACCCAACAAGACUGUUGACCUACUUAAAUACUAAUUGUUAUCUUUAAGACAUUGUGAACCUUUGAUGAGAACAGCCAAUAUCCAGUAUCUACUUUGCUGAAUUCACAUAUUGUACUAAAUCUUAAAGUGGCUUUUUGAUGUUGUCUUAGCAUGUUGUAUGAAACCAGCCAUUGUAGAUUAUAAACCACAAUUGUUCUACUUGUCAAUCAGAUCCCUUGAUCCGGCACAUCUUAAAGAAUUAGUAGCCAGGAAGCCACAAAAUAAUAUAUAUAAAACAUAUUCAGUGUACGCUUCUUCCUUAUACAAGUUCCUUCCCAUUUGUUGCAAUGGAAGGGAAAUUAUGUUAACAUGAGGCCUGAUACAGUACACAUUUUCCCAGUUCUUGCAGCACAUUAGAGUGUUAGAAGGGUCCUAUAGAUCCAAGCCUUCCAUUGACAUCCCAGAAAAACACCUAUCCUGUUUUUACUAAUGGAGCUCCAGAAUCAGAUGGCUAAGGCUAGAGUUUGCUGCUGGAGUUAGAUUUCUGUCUCUAAGGGUGUAUCCCUUUCUUGCCCUCUUUCUAUUUGCAGUUUGUGCCCUGACAACCUAACUUUUCCCUCUUGAUCACAUGAAUUCCCUAGUGACAUGUAUCAUCAAAGAUGUGUUUGGAGAGUGUUGAGAGACACGGGCAACCCCUCUGCCCUCUGGUCAACCUGUACUACAGCCAUUUUUAUUCCUACAUUUGUGCCCUUUCCUUUGCACUUUGGUUUCUGAAUUCCUUUCAAACUGGUCACCUUGCUCCUGUUUUGGACACCAACUUUUAUCCAGGCUCCAGAAAGACAGCGAAGAGAGCAGAUAUCUGCUAUUAUAAAUAAAAUGUUUUGUAUGGGGGAAGAAGGAAUAUUAGUACCAUCCCAUAUUAACAGUACUGUAUUCUGACAUGCUGUCAUUGGAGAUCUUUACCUUGAGAUGUAGCAGGCUUGCUAGCUCUCACUGCAGUUCUAUAAAGUUAGGGAUGUUAAUUUCUACCCCUCCCCUCCCUCUUUAUGAAGUAAGAAUAGCACAGCAGCUGCUCAGCUUCAGUUUUCCUUCUCUCCAGGACCUCACCAGUUGCAUAAUCAUGGCAGAGGUAUGACUAUUUCUAGCCUACUGUCUUCCCAUAGGUUUACUUCUUAUUAUUUGAGGUUGAGAAAUGCCAAAUGGGGCAUGAGAGGACAGGCAAACAAACCAGCCUAGAGAAACCAAGCCAGAACCACCCCAUUCACGCUGCAGCGCCCUGCUCCGUUUCUAGUGAUACGUUAAGAUGGAUUAAAGCAAUCUGAGGGGAAAAAUCCAAAUAUCUUGCCUAUUACAGCUAGCACACUUCCAGUCAUCUUCACUCAGCAGUGACUUGGAACAAACACAACAGAGGCAAAGUAGAGAUUAGCAGUGGAUACAACAAAUUUUAUGCUGGAAUUGUUCCGUGCCAACUCAAGGAGGGGUGGAUGAUGCUUUAAUUCACUAGUGGGGAAAGGCCCUUUUUGGAGAGAGAGAUCCAAAAUAUCCUAAGGCUUCUGAGAUGCUCCCCUGGAGACUGCAUCAUGGCAGCCUAAAACUUCUUGAACCAUCUGUGCUCACAAGAUUCAAUUUGUUAAUAAAAUAAUUCCUAAUUACUUGUAUAAAGUUAAAAAAAAGUUUUAAGGCUGCGUUAAAAACAUUUCUAUUGCUUUUGUAGGAUUCUUGAUUCUUCCACAGAUUGUCUUGUGAAGACAUCUUUAACUCUUCAUGAAACAUUGCCUGUACAGUCAGUUGUUUGGGCUUCGAUUGUGCUUUGAAUAUUCAUCCAUGCUUAAAUCAAAUUCUGUAAAAAAACCCUUAAAAUUCAGGACUGGAUUCUAGAGACAAGUGUUUGGCAUGUUUUGGAAGCAUAUCAUUUGAUUAGAGUUGGAUUUCUGAUUCACUCCAGUUCUCAUUAUAUGAAUAAUAAUAUAUUUUGGAGACUAUAUAAACUUAUGUAUAUAAUUGUUUCUAUUAGUUUUCUACAAAAGUGAACAUGAAACUGCCUAAGCUCACAUCUUUCAGGCCAGCUGUGCACAUUUCAAAGCCAAACAUUUAGUAAUCAUCAUCUGAAAUUGCAAACCUGUGAAGUUUAUGCUCAGUAGCAGCUUUCAUCCCAUCUUCUAAGUUAUUACAGUAUUUAUUUUCCAGGAACUGUGUCCUUAUCAUUUAUUGCAUCAGCCCUAUGCAAGCCCACUGAAAUCUUUAAGUUCGCUGUAUUAUGCACUGGACUGUUUGAAGGAUUCAAGAGAAAGGGGUAGCAGCUCAAAAAACAGUUAACUGCCAGCCCCCAUCUGGAGCCCACCAGGCGGGUUGAAUUAAAUCCCUCCCCAUCCUCAUCUGUUGUAGUUCAGCAGAUCUGGAGAAAACGGCUGGGAAAUCCUAGUAGGCUACUGCCUCUGCCACCAGCGGCCACGGCCCUGCAAAAGAGCUAAUCCUCUUCCAAAAUUAAGGGAACGUGGGGUUAGGGUUGGAAUCGGGCCCCCGAGCUGUUAACACUCCUAAAUCGGGACGGGUGUCAACGGGGCCCGUCUCUAGAUAGCUGCGCCUCAAGCAGCCCUGCAGAAGUAACCUGAUCGCUCGUGCCUCGCAGCGUCCUCGCCUUUUGUGUUUCGCGGGCACAAGGUGCCAGGGUGGUUUGGGGCGUGUGUGUCUUUUACGCUGUUUACUCGGAAGUAAAUCAAGUCACUGGGACUCUUAAGUAAGUGUGCAAAGGGCGUCUGUCUUCGUUGCAGGGCAUUCUCAAUAACGGGAUCGCGCGCUCGCUCUCCCUCUUACACACACACGCACACACUCCCCGGAGAAAGGAUACAGUCCAGAGGCCUUUGCUCCUUAACUGCAGCUGCAACAGGCACUGCCCGGGCACUGCCAGCGGCGCCCCUUCGGCUGCAGCUGCCUCUCGCUGCUCCUUUCCGCGCCUCGCGCCCGCUUCCCCCAGCCGGCUCCCUUUCCUCCCCGCGGGAGGAGCGCUCCUCGGCGUCAGGUAGGAUCCUCCGAGCGCCUCCAGGUCUCCGUCGGGGAGAGAAAAUGGCGCCUCCGCCGACCAGAGAAC